rnacentral:sRNA from 1 species
UCACACGGUCCUUGUGGCUUGACCGGCG